UCGUGCACCGGGCCUCUAGUAGAUAUAUAUAUAUAAACUAGACUUUUAAUGUGUACAAUAAUUAAUACUUAAGAAUAAUCCAAUAACACAGGAAGGGGAAAAUACAAAUAUUUGUCUUUGAUAUUCCACAGGUCAAUUUUAUGAGGAACAAAAUAAAAUUUAGGGCAUAUAGUCCAAGGAAGCUAUGUGAAAAUUAUGGUGCUGUCAUCUAUUUAAGGAUUCUAACCAGUAAUGAAAUUAGAACUCCAGUGUUUAAGUAGUGAGGGAAAUAGGAAAUCCAAAGCCCUUUUGUGGCAGUUAACUCGGGCUUCUGAGUCCUCAAAGGGUUAUCAUACCUAAGAGGUUCUCUCACUUGUCUCUCUCAGGACACAGUGGUGGCUCUCCAUGCUUUGUCCAGAUAUGGAGCAGCUACUUUCACCAGGACUGGGAAGGCUGUACAGGUGACCAUUCAAUCUUCAGGGACAUUUUCCACAAAUUUCCAAGUGGACAACGACAACCGCUUGCUACUGCAGCAGAUUUCAUUGCCAAAGGUGCCUGGAGAUUACAGCAUGACAGCAACAGGAAAAGGGUGUGUCUACCUCCAGACAUCCUUGAAAUAUAAUAUUCUCCCCCAAAAA